rnacentral:rRNA from 1 species
UACGUAGGCAGCAAGCGUUGUUCGGAGUUACUGGGCGUAAAGGGUGUGUAGGCGGUUGCUUAAGUUUGGUGUGAAAUCUCCCGGCUCAACCGGGAGGGUGCGCCGAAUACUGAGUGACUAAAGUGCGGGAGAGGAAAGUGGAAUUCCUGGUGUAGCGGUGAAAUGCGUAGAUAUCAGGAGGAACACCGGUGGUGUAGACGGCUUUCUGGACCGUAACUGACGCUGAGACACGAAAGCGUGGGUAGCAAACAGG